GUGCUCGCUUCGGCAGCACUUAUACUAAAAUUGAAAUGAUACAGAGAAGAUUAGCACGGCCCCUGCACAAGGAUGACAUGCAAAUUCGUGAAGUGUUCUAUAUUAAA